GUAGAGUUAGGGUGUACGAAUAGGUCGGGUUGAGUAGCAGGGGAAUCAACAAGGCCAAGAGUAGAUUGAAUUUGAAGAGAUGAUUUGUAAAUAAUUUCAUAAUGAUUUAAUGAUAAAUUUGGUCAUUAAUAUUUGUAUGUUUUUUAAAAUAAUUUUAAUUGUAUUUUUGAAUUUUUUACCAUCAAUUUUUAUUUUUAAUUUACUUUUUUAAGAGAUUUCGUUAAUAAAUUCAAUAUUUCAAAUUUUC
rnacentral:lncRNA from 1 species